rnacentral:lncRNA from 1 species
UAUUCACUGUUUAUAUCCGGAUUGAUAGAAGUAUCUUGGCUAUCCUGAUAGAGACGUGAUACAGUUUCCUCUCAUAUUUUUUUUGUACCGUACGUAAACUCCAAAGCUGGCGACAACAGUGGGUGGUACAGUAAGAUAUGAGGUGAAAAAACAAGCAAUGGACUGAUAUACAAGCAGAAGAUAACUAACAGUAGCUAUGGUACUUGGAAAUAUAGAGAAUUCUCCAUGUGAAUAUAUG